CAAGUAUGAUAUUAUCGCGCGGAGACAAGCCAUUUUUGAUUAAGCAAACAUAUGAAUAAUUAUAUAUAAUUAAAGACUAUAUACAGGGUGUAUUCUAAAAAGUGAGAAGUAUUGCAAUGAGAGAUUCAGGACACAAAAAUAAGAGAAAAAAUUCAUAUAAACAUAUGUCCGAUAUGACCUUGUUUCCGAGUUACAGCCUGUUUUAUUUUCUAAUAUUUCCAACUUUUCCGCAUACAAAAGUCUAAUUCUGACGACAUUACCAUCGGAAAAUCCUAUAUUCCGAUAUAUGAGAUGUAUGUCUGCCAUUUAAUUGUUUGACCAAGCCAUAAUUUUUUUAAACGUAGACUAUUGCGUUAAUAACGCUAACGUACGAUACGAAUACUUUACUUUCACUGAGCACAAGAUACGAACCGUACUACUUACAAUACAAAUAAUACGUGUUUAUGUUUACAAAUUAACAAGACCUUAAGUCCUUUAAAUCUUGUAUAUAAACAGCAAACCGAUAUCCAAGUAUGCUAUCUUAACUCUAUUGGAAAAUAAAACAAGCUAUAAUUUGAAAACAAGGUCAUAUCACAUAUGUUUAUAUGAACUUUUUCUCUUAUUUUUGUGUCCUGAAUCCCCCAUUGCAAUACUUCCCACUUUUUAGGAUACACCCUGUAUAUGUGUCAGUGUGUGUAAUAGUCGUAUACAAAACAUUGAAAAACAAUUUUUCUUGAGAUACUUAUUAAUUCUAUCUUUCGACUUUUCUUAAUUCGAUAUAUUAAAAGUUAUAUAAACACAUUUUUUUCCGAUAAAACAAAAAAAAAAUUAUAGGAUUUAUUUAGAUAAAAAUUAUGCUAUUUUUUUAAAAAAAUUAGUGUUAAUAUCGAACAUCUAUAUUAUAAUAUAUAUCUCGUCUCAAAUGAUGUAAUUUUCGAUUACUCCCUUUUACGGAAUUUUAUGCGGAGCGAUGUUCGAGGUCGAAAAAUACACUCACCGGCAAUGUCUGGCACGCAAGUAUGUGGCAUGGUUUUCAUGAUCCUCUGUUAGACGAUGCGUCCUGCUUUCUUGAUUCCGAUCUUUGGUCCAAAAUGUGACAGUAUUGAUCAUCCAGCAUCCCGCGACAUAGCGCAGUCUCUGUUCCCAAUACAGUGGAGAUAGCGACGUGCAAGUAUUAGGUUUUCCACUGACAAAGAAAGUUAGAGAGACAACACAUGUAAGGAUUCGGAAAUCCUAUCCUACCCGUAGAGUAACGUUUGACUAUUAAGACAAAAAGAGCAAAGAUUUCUUUAUCCUGAUGGAUCAAUUAAAUGCUACUCUACUCCAGAUAAGAUUUCCGAAUGCAUCCUAAAACGAGUCUUUGUUUCUUUCUAACUAAAGAAAGGAUAGUCAAAACCACUGAUUGUGAGCAGAAGACGCGAAUGAAUGAGAAUAAGAGAUUCGUCUUAUUAUAUUUCCUCUUUUAUUUAUUUUAUUCUCACUAAUAUUGCAAAAUAUUAAUUGUAAUAAUAAUUGUAAGCAAUGAGGUCGCUCGGUCUAUUUUUAUUACAUACUUAUAUGUUUACGCUUACAAUCUAUCUUUUUUUUCACAUGAUACACAAGCAGGGUUAUGUUGUUUAUACUUAUUUAUAUUACAUGAAUUACAUUCAUCGUUUUUCAUAUGUUUUAUCUCCAUUUAUUAUAUCAAUAUAUUUACUGUAAAUAUAAAAUAUAUAUGUACUCAAUUUCUCUCCCCUAUUCACUGGUAUUUAUCCAGUUAGAUUUGUUACUGUUCAAUUGUUAGUAAUAUUUGCCAGCAUAAAAAUACAAGCAAUAUAAUCUUUACUAAAGCUUAAUUAUUAACUUCAAUAACUUCUUUUUUUUU